GGGAGUAAUCCCUUGCCUAAUGUAGCCGUGGACGGUCACAAGCCCGUGUAAAUACAGAGUGGGUA
rnacentral:ribozyme from 1 species